AGGAAUUUUCCGCAAUGGGCGAAAGCCUGACGGAGCAAUGCCGCGUGGAGGUGGAAGGCCUACGGGUCGUCAACUUCUUUUCUCGGAGAAGAAACAAUGACGGUAUCUGAGGAAUAAGCAUCGGCUAACUCUGUGCCAG
rnacentral:rRNA from 1 species